AACGAACGCUGGCGGCAUGCCUAACACAUGCAAGUCGAACGAGACCUUCGGGCCUAGUGGCGCACGGGUGCGUAACGCGUGGGAACCUGCCCUUAGGUUCGGAAUAACUCCCCGUAAGGUGUGCUAAUACCGGUUAAUGUCUUCGGACCAAAGAUCUCUUGCGUUUGGAUGGGCCCGGGUUGGAUUCGGCAGUUGGUAGGGUAAAAGCCUGCCAAGGCGAUGUUCCAUAGCUGGUGGGAGAGGAUGAUUAUCCCCACUGGGCCUGAGGCACGGCCCAGACUGCGACGGGAGGGAGCAGAGGGGAAUAUUGGACGAGGAGCGAAAGCCUGACAAAGCAGUGCGGGGGGAGAGAGGAAGGCCGUAGGAUUGUGAAGCUCUUUUAGCCGGGAUGAUAGUGACAGUAACGGGAGAAUAAGCACCGGCUAACUCCGUG
rnacentral:rRNA from 1 species